rnacentral:lncRNA from 1 species
CUUGAUCUGUGAUUUAUAGAUAGGCACAGCUACUCCCGUUCGGGAACCCAACGGCAGACAGGUCCUAGUGCCCAUCAGAUACCCGCGGCCGGGACUCGGAGCUGUGGGGUGUGGGGAGGCGGAGGCACCAACUAAGAGCGACCUAGCAUCGCAAAGCCGCCCUCGGGGCGCUCAUGGCGGGACGCCUCCUGGGAAAGGCUUUAGCCGCGGUGUCUCUCUCUCUGGCCUUGGCCUCUGUGACUAUCAGGUCCUCGCGCUGCCGCGGCAUCCAGGCGUUCAGAAACUCGUUUUCAUCUUCUUGGUUUCAUCUUAAUACCAACGUCAUGUCUGGUUCUAAUGGUUCCAAAGAAAAUUCUCACAAUAAGGCUCGGACGUCUCCUUACCCAGGUUCAAAAGUUGAACGAAGCCAGGUUCCUAAUGAGAAAGUGGGCUGGCUUGUUGAGUGGCAAGACUAUAAGCCUGUGGAAUACACUGCAGUCUCUGUCUUGGCUGGACCCAGGUGGGCAGAUCCUCAGAUCAGUGAAAGUAAUUUUUCUCCCAAGUUUAACGAAAAGGAUGGGCAUGUUGAGAGAAAGAGCAAGAAUGGCCUGUAUGAGAUUGAAAAUGGAAGACCGAGAAAUCCUGCAGGACGGACUGGACUGGUGGGCCGGGGGCUUUUGGGGCGAUGGGGCCCAAAUCACGCUGCAGAUCCCAUUAUAACCAGAAGCCCCUCCAAGUAGGUAUUGAUAUAUCUAUUUUGAGGAUUUGAAAAUAGAGACUCACUGGGGUUAAGUUACUUGCCUAAAUGUUGUAGAUCUGACAUCUGAAUCAGGGAGUAUAUUCAUUCUACUGGAGAAUCACCCAGGCACUUUCAGAGCCAAGAUUUCACCCCCCUUUCUUUCAAGUAUGCACUUCAUGAUUCAAAACAGCGUUGUUCAGGAUUUCAUAAACUUUUUCAGAAGCUCCGGGGCAGGUGUUAAAUUUUCGGAUUCCCAGGCAUCUCUCCUAGAGAUUGUCCAGAUGGAAAAGGGAUAGCAGUGGAAAUAAAAUCAUGCAUCCUGUUUCUGGGAAGCAUAUCUUACAAUUUGUUGCAAUAAAAAGGAAAGACUGUGGAGAAUGGGCAAUCCCAGGGGGGAUGGUGGAUCCAGGAGAGAAGAUUAGUGCCACACUGAAAAGAGAAUUUGGUGAGGAAGCUCUCAACUCCUUACAGAAAACCAGUGCUGAG